ensembl:snoRNA
GGGCUCCUUGUGCUUACCACAGGCUAUGUUGUUACACUGACUGUAUAGAAAGAGGAGGCCGACUAAGCAGAUUGAGAUCUUCUGAAUGUAUCAUUGAAAGGG